rnacentral:rRNA from 1 species
GGGUUUUGGUAGGUAGGGAGUGGAUCAGCCACAACUGGGACUGAGACACGGCCCAUACUCCUACGGAAGGCAGCAG